rnacentral:rRNA from 1 species
AGCGCAGGCGGGAGGACAAGUUGGAAGUGAAAACCAUGGGCUCAACCCAUGAAUUGCUUUCAAAACUGUUUUUCUUGAGUAGUGCAGAGGUAGAUGGAAUUCCCGGUGUAGCGGUGGAAUGCGUAGAUAUCGGGAGGAACACCAGUGGCGAAGGCGGUCUACUGGGCACCAACUGACGCUGAGGCUCGAAAGCAUGGGUAGCAAACA